AUUGAACGCUGGCGGCAUGGCUAAAGCAUGCAAGUCGAACGAGAAGCACCUUCGGGUGUGGAAAGUGGCGAAAGGGCGAGUAAUGCGAUCGAAUGUACCCCGAGGUGGGGGAUAGCGUCGAGAAAUCGGCGGUAAUACCCCAUGUCCUCUACGGAGAAAAGGUUUACCGCCUUGGGAGCAGCGAUCGUCCUAUCAGGUAGUUGGUGAGGUAACGGCUCACCAAGCCGAAGACGGGUAGCGGGUGUGAGAGCAUGACCCGCCGCAUCGGAACUGAGACACUGUCCGG
rnacentral:rRNA from 1 species